AGCGCACCGCGCGGCUGGCAACAGUUCGUGGCACGGUAAACUCCACCCGGAGCAAGGCCAAAUAGGGGUUCACAUGGUACGGCCCGUACUGAACCCGGGUAGGCUGCUUGAGCCAGUGAGCGAUUGCUGGCCUAGAGGAAUGACUGUCCACGACAGAACCCGGCUUACCGGUCAACUCCCUCG
rnacentral:RNase_P_RNA from 1 species